rnacentral:rRNA from 1 species
UACGUAGGGUGCGAGCGUUGUCCGGAAUUAUUGGGCGUAAAGAGCUCGUAGGCGGUGUGUCGCGUCGGCCGUGAAAACCUGGGGCUCAACUGUGGGCGGGCAGCUGAUACGGGCAGGCUGGAGUUCGGUAGGGGGAGACUGGAAUUCCUGGUGUAGCGGUGAAAUGCGCAGAUAUCAGGAGGAACACCGGUGGCGAAGGCGGGUCUCUGGGCCGAUACUGACGCUGAGGAGCGAAAGCGUGGGGAGCGAACAGG